rnacentral:rRNA from 1 species
GAUCAUGGCUCAGGAUGAACGCUAGCUACAGGCUUAACACAUGCAAGUCGGAGGGGCAGCAUGGUCUUAGCUUGCUAAGGCUGAUGGCGACCGGCGCACGGGUGAGUAACACGUAUCCAACCUGCCGUCUACUCUUGGCCAGCCUUCUGAAAGGAAGAUUAAUCCAGGAUGGCAUCAUUGAGUUCACAUGUCCGCAUGAUUAAAGGUAUUUUCCGGUAGACGUAG